CCCCGCGCCCCGGACGGGGCGGCCGGGGAGGCCGGGGGCGACGCCGGGCCCGGGCCCCGGGCGCAGGUGCGGCUGCUGCCCACGCCUCUCACGCGGCCUCGGCGGCCGGGCCCUGGAGGAGCAAGAAAAUGGAGUUGUUUGUAAGAGGUUUGAAAACCUCUGUGCAAACCAGGAAAAAAACCCGUUUGAAGAAACACCUCCGUCUACUGCCCCCGCCCCAGCUGAGGACCCGUAGCCCACCCUGAGAUACAAAAGGAGCCCACCGAGGACCGGGCCCUCGGCCACGUGCUCGCCCUGAGUGCCCGCCACACGUGGCCGCCCACCCCUGCAAGUGUAUUUAUUUUUCUUGAAUAAAAAAAAGUCAUUCUGGCUGCGA